rnacentral:rRNA from 1 species
UACGUAGGCAGCGAGCGUUGUUCGGAAUUACUGGGCGUAAAGAGUGUGUAGGCGGUGCUCCCAGUCUGUUGUGAAAUCUCCCGGCUUAAUUGGGAGGGUGCAGCGGAAACUAGAGUGCUAGAGGGUGGGAGAGGUAAGCGGAAUUCCUGGUGUAGCGGUGAAAUGCGUAGAUAUCAGGAGGAACACCUGUGGUGUAGACAGCUUACUGGACCACUUCUGACGCUGAGACACGAAAGCGUGGGUAGCAAACAGG